rnacentral:misc_RNA from 1 species
GGAGAAUAUUGAUAUUGCUUUUGACUCUAAAUUUUGGGGGGGUCUUGACACGUGUUUGGAAGGCAAACUUCAGGCAUGUGCCUUUCUUUCGGUGUAUUAAGCAUUGUUAGUGAUUUAUGAGGUUCCGUGGUGGAUAUGAUGGCGCAAUACAAUGUAGUACUGAUGAGUGCUGAAGAAGGAACUGGUGUUUGUGUCAAUGAUACAGAGAAAUAGACAUUUUUCUUUCGCCGAGUAGUUGUAAAG